CUCUCUCAUAACCGCGAAGUUUGCGGGACAAUCCUGGGUUGAUCGUCGGAAGAGCUUCCUUGGUCUGCCUGCAGGUAGUUAGGUUUGUCCAAUAUUCUUGCUGGCUGCGCAGCCAUUUUCGACUGUAUUUAUGAGAUAUUUCUAUUCUCAAAUAUCAAUCUAAAAGUUGUAACUUAUUAUAGAGGAGAAAGAGGUCCCAACGGCCUAUUCUACCUCUUGGUUUUAAAGUAUAUUCUUAAUUUAUUUGCAAGAUAAAAUUAAUUCAUCGACAAUCGGUGAAACCGCAUCUAAAUAAUAUUAAAAACACUUUACUGUACUGUACCCUACCGGUGCAUACAGAUAAUAAGUAUAUAUUUACGCACACACUAAAGUGUAGGAAUAAUAUUUUUACAAUAAUAUUAACUUAAUUCCUAAAAUUACUUUAUAAGUUCAGUCAGAAGAAUAAUAAAUAUAUAUUUAAUUUCCGUUUAGAACCUUUAAACAUACAUCCAUAACUUAUGAUUAGCUAUGUAACAAAAUAAUGAGAUAUGAUAACAUAGGCAUACGUACGGUGGGAAAUUUGUCCCAUCCUUACUUGAAGCUAAUAAUUUAUAUUUUACAUUUUAUUAAGGAAAUUUAAGGUAGAUUUAGCCAAAACCUUCGCACGUUAUUAUUGGAGUAGUGUAGAUAGCGAAAAUGAAUGAAAGUAACAGGAAAUGUAAGAAAAAUAUAAAUUGCUACUACUUAACGAGCUUUACAUUUAUUUGUUUUUGCCCCACCUUUACAAAAUUCUAGAUAUGCCCAUGUAUGUAUAAAACAAAGUAAAUUUUGUAUGUUAUAGGUAAAAUGUUCCUCUAUAAAAUUCAAAGUCAUGCAAGAUUAUAAGCCAGUGGUUAUUGAUCUCAAAUACUGUUAUCAUCAAGCUCAAAGUUCUUUCUCUUGUAAUCUAUGUACGUUCAUGUAGGUACUUUUUUGUCUCUUUAAAAGUAUACAUGUUUAUAGCUUUUACACUAUUUGUGACGCCAUAAAAAUUACAUUAUUAAUUAUUUCUUGUUACCAAUUUUUAACCUUUUUUUGUGCCAUAUAUGUACAUCUGAUUUGUACACAAAUCUGUAUAUAUCAUAUCGUAAUAUCUAAGUCAAGUCACAUU
rnacentral:misc_RNA from 1 species